AGAGGUAGUAGUUUGUGUAGUUUAAAAGGUUGUGACACCGCCUGGGAGAUAACUAUACAAUCUACUGCCUUGC
rnacentral:pre_miRNA from 1 species